UACGGAGGGGGCUAGCGUUGUUCGGAAUUACUGGGCGUAAAGCGCACGUAGGCGGCUUUGCAAGUUAGAGGUGAAAGCCCGGGGCUUAACCCUGGAAUUGCCUUUAAGACUGCAUCGCUAGAAUCGUGGAGAGGUGAGUGGAAUUCCGAGUGUAGAGGUGAAAUUCGUAGAUAUUCGGAAGAACACCAGUGGCGAAGGCGACUCACUGGACACGUAUUGACGCUGAGGUGCGAAAGCGUGGGGAGCAAACAGG
rnacentral:rRNA from 1 species